CCUGCACACUGGAGAGAUGCAAAGAGACACAUUCAUUUUGUAUUAUGUAAUUUCUCACAGGCAAUGCAGCAGCAUGCAUUAAAAACUAGCAUGCGAUCUACAGACUUCCUCAACAUGUGGAUCAUGAAGAAGUGGCGUGAUGUGACGAAAAGUAUUAUUUUCCAUAAAACUGAAUAUUCAAGGCAGGAACAUCCUGUGACAUUCAUUCCUACACCAUUGUCUUCUUUAAACAUGGAGAUUAUGGAUAAACAAACAUUAUGAAAAUCAGCAGAACAGCAUGGAGCAUCCACUGCGAGAUGGGGUUCUACAUCCUCUCCCUUGGACAAGUACAUUGCUCAGGAGAUUAUAUCUGUUAUGACUGUUAAGAUCUUCUGGGGAGGCCCUGCUGUCGGUCCUGUCCUCAUCGCAGGUGCAGUAGACAGGGACGAGAGACAGGGCUUUCUCGGUGGUGGCUCUGUGGCUGUGGAACUCCCUCCCCAGUGACAUCAGAACAGCCCCCUCACUCUUAAGCUUCAGGAGGAAUCUUAAGAUCUGACUAUUUAAGCAAGCCUUUGGGGAUUAAUAUGACCUGUAAGAAUGAUGGAAGAACAGCAAAGCAAUUGGUUCAUUGUUUACAAAGCUCAGUUGGUGCUGGACUUUUGAUAUGUUUGAUAUGUUUUAAUCAUUUGAAAGACAACUUUAAUUGAUAUGUAUAUAUUUUUUACAGUUUUAUAAUAUUGUGUUUUACUGAUAUUGUUAUUGUUUGUAUCUGGCAUUGUAAUUAUUGCCAUAGUUUGUAAGCUGCCCUGAGUCCUCCUUCGGGGGUGAGAAGGGCGGGGCAUAAGUAUAC